CCAGAGCAGGAGCAGAUUUGCAUGUGGGGCCUCCUCCCUGCAGGGCCUGGGCUGGUCUUAAGAGAGUCCUGGGGGAGCCCAGCCCAGCUGGGGAGCCUCAGGACACUGAGCUGUGGGAGGAAUCUUGACCAUGGCCUGGAUCUCUCUGCUCUUCUCACUCCUGACUGUCUACACAGGUUCUGGGGCCUCCUAUGUGCUGACUCAGCCACCUUCAGUGUCC